rnacentral:lncRNA from 1 species
CUGGGAUUGUUUCUCUCUUUCCAGGGCCUCUUGGAGGGUGACUACUUCGGCUACCUUUUCUUUGAAGCGAGCGACCUCGGCCCGACAGCGCUCUUCCACCUGGAUGGAGUCCCUCCUCGCCCGAUUCAUCGCCUCGAUAUUGGCGAGGAGCUGGUGUCCAAUCUGCAAGGGCGACAAGGGGAUCAGAACAAGGAUCGAAUAGCCGGUUAAAUGAAGAUUUGUUUACCUCGAGGAAGGACCCUAGGG